GCGGGUAUAGUUUAGUGGUAGAACGUGACCUUCCCAAGGUCGAGGUGCGGGUUCGAUUCCCGCUACCCGCUCCA
rnacentral:tRNA from 1 species